rnacentral:rRNA from 1 species
GCCAGACUCCUACGGGAGGCAGCAGUGAGGAAUAUUGGUCAAUGGGCGGAAGCCUGAACCAGCCAAGUCGCGUGAGGGAAUAAGGCCCUACGGGUCGUAAACCUCUUUUGCCGGGGAGCAAGGGCGGGGACGUGUCCCGGCCCGGAGAGUACCCGGAGAAAAAGCAUCGGCUAACUCCGUGCCAGCAGCCGCGGUAAUACGGAGGAUGCGAGCGUUAUCCGGAUUUAUUGGGUUUAAAGGGUGCGUAGGCGGUCCGUUAAGUCAGCGGUAAAAUUGCGGGGCUCAACCCUGUCGAGCCGUUGAAACUGGCAGACUUGAGUUGGCGAGAAGUACGCGGAAUGCGCGGUGUAGCGGUGAAAUGCAUAGAUAUCACGCAGAACUCCGAUUGCGAAGGCAGCGCACCGGCGCCCUACUGACGCUCAGGCACGAAAGCGUGGGUAUCGAACAGGAUUAGAUACCCUAGUAU